CCCGGCACCGAGCUGUCUGCGGCGGGUGGCUUCAAAGCGGAGACGGGAUGGUGGGGUGGAGCCCGAGGUGUUGAUCCCUUGAGGAUCAAGGCGCUGUCUCCUCAGGGGCCGGGGGCUUGCGGCUGAGGUGUGAGGAAGAUGGCCGGCCCCUGUGAGUGUCCAUGGUGGCCUGAGGCCCCGAGCAACGCUGGCCUGGUGUAGAGAACGUCACUUUGGGGAAAAUCAGAAGACUGCAAUGGGCAGAAAAGAGGAACCUGUGUACUUUUGCUAUCCAGGAACUUGUGCAAACUACAAUGAGCAUAUUUGUGCCAAAGCUGAAGAAUGUGACAGAGCUCUAUCACGAGUUCCAGAAGAGUUACUUGAUAUUUAUUGAUAUUUAUUGUAUGACUGAAGAAACAGAAUGUAAACAAGUAACUAAAGAUUGCUGCCUGUCUGGGUUUAUGGAGUGUGUCAAUGGUGCAACUAAAAAACCAAAGUAAACAAGAGGGACAUCAGGCAUCAGAUGUAAUGAAUGCACUCAGCAAUGAGAAUGAAUCACAGAUCACAAGAGAUCACAGAAGGGUUGAGGUGGGAGGGGACCUCUGGAGGUCAUCUGGGCCAAGCCCCCUGUUCAAUCUUCUAUAGAUCACAGUGAAGAAGAUGGCAAAGGCACAAUGAAGAAGCACUUGGGCUGUGUCUUCUCCAUGAGCCUUGUACUGACAAACACAACUUUGUGUCUGUUCCUUGAACAUACUGACCUGCUGAGUUAAAGGAAUACCACACUUCUGGCCUAUCUGCAGGAAGGGGAAGCCUCUGGGACAAACUGCAGGAUUUCUCAAAGGUGUCUCUAAGGUAAGGAAAAGGCAAAGGAAAAGAGAGAGAAUCAAAGGGCAAGCGUGACAGCAGAGGGAGGUCAUACCAGAUGACCUAGCAGAAGAGGGAAUUGAGGUGGUUGAAUGGGGUAUAGCUGUUAAAAUGCCAGUUGAUACAGAGGUGACAUGGCACCCUGCAAAGACAAACGACCAAAUUCCAUGAGGACAGGGUCCAUCAAAAAUUUUACCUGCUUUCUAUCUUCUAACCUGCAGGGUUCCCAAACUUUGUCAGCACUUAAGUGAUUAAACCGCUGCGAGGUAUUGUGCUGACAAGACUCACCUAUCUCAAUUCUUCCCUUCCUGAGGGAGCAAAGUACCUUUAGAUCAAAAAGUUGGGUUGCGUCUUCUUGCAAAAACCCUGAAGAAGGCAGUCUGCUCCAAUAACAUUAUUUUGUUCAAGAUAUCCCAAAUUCUCCCUUUCCCUUAAUUUGACCUUUUACUGUUACCACAGUGCAUAAU